rnacentral:rRNA from 1 species
UAGUGAGUAACACGUGGGUGAUCUGCCCUGCACUUCGGGAUAAGCUUGGGAAACUGGGUCUAAUACCGGAUAGGAACCAUCUUUAGUGUGGUGGUUGGAAAGUUUUUUCGGUGUAGGAUGAGCUCGCGGCCUAUCAGCUUGUUGGUGGGGUAAUGGCCUACCAAGGCGGCGACGGGUAGCCGGCCUGAGAGGGUGUACGGCCACAUUGGGACUGAGAUACGGCCCAG